CUUCAGCUGACGAGUCCCCAAGUAGGACGAAACGCACGUCCUAGAU
rnacentral:hammerhead_ribozyme from 1 species